rnacentral:rRNA from 1 species
AACGAACGCUGGCGGCAUGCCUAACACAUGCAAGUCGAACGAGACCUUCGGGUCUAGUGGCGCACGGGUGAGUAACGCGUGGGAACCUGCCCUUAGGUUCGGAAUAACUCCCCGAAAGGGGUGCUAAUACCGGAUAAUGUCUUCGGACCAAAGAUUUAUCGCCUUUGGAUGGGCCCGCGUUGGAUUAGCUAGUUGGUAGGGUAAAAGCCUACCAAGGCGACGAUCCAUAGCUGGUCUGAGAGGAUGAUCAGCCACACUGGGACUGAGACACGGCCCAGACUCCUACGGGAGGCAGCAGUGGGGAAUAUUGCACAAUGGGCGAAAGCCUGAUGCAGCAAUGCCGCGUGAAUGAUGAAGGCCUUAGGGUUGUAAAGCUCUUUUACCCGGGAUGAUAAUGACAGUACCGGGAGAAGAAGCCCCGGCUAACUCCGUG